rnacentral:rRNA from 1 species
CAGUAGCCGCGGGAAUACGUAGGUGGCAAGCGUUGUCCGGAAUUAUUGGGCGUAAAGGGCUCGCAGGCGGUUUCUUAAGUCUGAUGUGAAAGCCCCCGGCUCAACCGGGGAGGGUCACUGGAAACUGGGAAACUUGAGUGCUGAAGAGGAGAGUGGAAUUCCACGUGUAGCGGUGAAAUGCGUAGAGAUGUGGAGGAACACCAGUGGCGAAGGCGACUCUCUGGUCUGUAACUGACGCUGAGGAGCGAAAGCGUGGGGAGCGAACAGGAUUAGAGACCCCUGUAGUCCCUGUCUCUUAUAC